rnacentral:lncRNA from 1 species
AAUUGGAGGAAGAUGGUUUCCAUUCCUUUUUAUCUUCCUCUUUGUGAAAUUUCUGCAUUUGUCUUGGGUGCGUUUGUUGUUUUCAGGUGCAAUUUCUUUUAAGUAUUUACUGUAUGCAAAAUACUAUCCUAAGCAUUUGAGAGAAUACAAUAGAGUGGGGAGACAGAUCCCUGCCCUCAAGGAAUUUACAAUCUAAUGGGAUCACAACGUGAUUAUGCUUAAAUUUGUGUUUUACCUUUAUAUGGGCCUAAACCUAUCCUUCCCUCAGAACAAAUAGCAGUCCUGGGAGCAAACCAUUUUCCAUUUUAAAAGAAAACAGGGCAGGGGCGGAUCCAAGAAUCCGGAGGCCUGGCUAAGCCUUUAAGGCUUAAUAUUCAAUCUUGUGUGCUAAUUUCUCGAGAGACUAAAGAAUGUGAAUUGUAAGAUUUAAACUAUACUUUUACACUUUCCUGAAAACACUGUUAAAAAGGCAAUAAUUGGCUGACUGGUAGAGGGAGUGUCAAUGCCUCUCUUUGAGCUCUCCCAGGUUCAAUAAAUUCCACUGAUUCCGUGAUCAGUGAUUAGCUUUAUGUCAUAGCCCCGGGCCACUACUUCACCUAAGAAGGAUUUGAUACAAGUGAAUGGGGAGACACCUGAUGACAGAGUUGGAGCUGAGCCAGUAGCAGUUCAGGAAUUGAGUUAAUGACCUUGGAGUAGGUGAGGGUAUUAAAGACUUAAGAGCGAAGGGGUCAAGACUAUGAGGGAUGAGCUAGCAAAGAUGGUGGAUUCAGUGAAGUUAAGAGGAAGGCAUAUGAAGAAAGGCUGCAGUCUGAGCAUAUUGAAUGUGGAGCACUAAGAACUUGGGAGAAGAAAAGAUUCCUGCCAUAAGAAGCUUAAAGUCUGGAAGGAGAAUGAGACAUUAAUUUAUAAAUAAGAGGAAGUGCUUAAAUAGUAAAGAACACAAAACCAUACAAAAAUGUAAUGAGCAGUAAGUAGUAAUUGCUAAGAAGAAGAUAGUAACCAGGGAAAGCAUCCUGAAGGAGGU